CCCAAGAUGGCUGCUGCAGAGGACACACCCACAAGGUUUUGCAGUCAGCCAACUGUGUUGAAACAGAUUGGACUUUUGCUGCAAGCUGACAUCUUGGGGCCUUCUGCAUCUUGCCAAGGGGGCCAAUGGAGACGUGGAGGGGAAAGGAACUGCUCAGUUUCCGUUUUCACUGUCCUCUUUAUCAUCACCGGAGCAUAAACUGAUUGACAACUAACCUGCAAUUAGUUUGAUAAGACAACCCCCAUCUGAGUGGCCUGUGAUCACCUGAAUGAGUCAAAGAGGAGGAUAGACAAACAGGAGGAGAUUUACUGCUGUAAUCAAAGUCCUGCCGGCAGCUGGAAAUUGACCGUGAAUGACGUCAUCAACCUGUUCUCCACUGCAUCAUUUGAUUUAGAAAGAAUGAAGAAUGCUCUGGCAGGGUUAAAGAAAUGAUACAGCUGUGUGUUUUGUUGAAUUUGUGGAGCAUUUUUGUCACUUUCUUAUUUUCAGAUGAACUUCAACAUUACAAUGUAUUGUACACAACUAGAGAAUGUAGAGUAAGU